GCAAGUCGAGCGGGCGUAGCAAUACGUCAGCGGCAGACGGGUGAGUAACGCGUGGGAACGUACCUUUUGGUUCGGAACAACACAGGGAAACUUGUGCUAAUACCGGAUAAGCCCUUACGGGGAAAGAUUUAUCGCCGAAAGAUCGGCCCGCGUCUGAUUAGCUAGUUGGUGAGGUAACGGCUCACCAAGGCGACGAUCAGUAGCUGGUCUGAGAGGAUGAUCAGCCACAUUGGGACUGAGACACGGCCCAAACUCCUACGGGAGGCAGCAGUGGGGAAUAUUGGACAAUGGGCGCAAGCCUGAUCCAGCCAUGCCGCGUGAGUGAUGAAGGCCCUAGGGUUGUAAAGCUCUUUUGUGCGGGAAGAUAAUGACGGUACCGCAAGAAUAAGCCCCGGCUAACUUCGUGCCAGCAGCCGCGGUAAUACGAAGGGGGCUAGCGUUGCUCGGAAUCACUGGGCGUAAAGGGUGCGUAGGCGGGUCUUUAAGUCAGGGGUGAAAUCCUGGAGCUCAACUCCAGAACUGCCUUUGAUACUGAA
rnacentral:rRNA from 1 species